rnacentral:tRNA from 1 species
ACUCUAAUAGUUUAUUAAAAHAUUGGUCUUGUAAACCAAAGAAUGAAGAACACAUYUUYUUAGAGUU